rnacentral:lncRNA from 1 species
GGGAGGAGGGGGGGAGGAGGGGGGGAGGAGGAUUCAGGAAGGAGGAGAAGGUGGCAAAGAGCUUCCUAGUGUUAGAGGCAGAUGCUUGGAAGUUAGAGUGGUAGAAAGUGGCUUUAGCAGCAGAUACAGAGGAGACAAAUGUAGAGAGGAGGGAGUGAAAAGAUGCCAGGUCUGCAGGGAGGCUAGUUUUCCUCCAUUUCCGCUCGGCUGCCCGGAGUCCUGUUCUGUGAGCUCGCAAUGAGUCGCCAAGUCACGGAGCAGGAGGGGAGGACCGAGCCAGCCGGGAGGAUAGGGGACAUAGAGACUCAAAGGAUGCAGAAAGGGAGGAGAGGAGGGUUGAGGAGGCAGAAUCAGGAGAUUGGUUGGAGAAGGAUUGAGCAGAGUGAAGAGAUGAUAGGAUGGAAGAGGAUGCAAGAGGAGAGAGUAGCAGGAGUGAGAGCGAAGGUUGCGACGGCGCAAUACCAUCUGAGUAGGGUCAGAGUGAGUAGUGUUGGAGGAGAGCGAGAGGGAAAAGGAUACUAGGUAGUGAUCGGAGACUUGGAGGGGAGUUGCAGUGAGAUUAUUAGAAGAACAGCAUCUAGUAAAAAUGAGGUCAAGCGUAUUGCCUGCCUUGUGAGUAGGGGGGGACGGUGAGAGGGUGAGGUCAAAAGAGGAGAGGAGUGGAAAGAAGGAGGCAGAGAGAAAUGAGUCAAAGGUAGACAUAGGGAGGUUAAAGUCACCCAGAUCUGUGAGGGGUGAGCCAUCCUCAGGAAAGGAAUUUAUCAAGGCAUCAAGCUCAUUGAUGAACUCUCCAAGGGAACCUGGAGGGCGAUAAAUGGUCCACCCCUCUCCCCGUCUCAUCGACGACCAGCCGGCG